rnacentral:rRNA from 1 species
UACGGAGGGAGCUAGCGUUGUUCGGAAUUACUGGGCGUAAAGCGCGCGUAGGCGGCUUUGUAAGUUAGAGGUGAAAGCCCGGGGCUCAACCCCGGAACUGCCUUUAAAACUGCAUCGCUUGAAUCCGGGAGAGGUGAGUGGAAUUCCGAGUGUAGAGGUGAAAUUCGUAGAUAUUCGGAAGAACACCAGUGGCGAAGGCGACUCACUGGACACAUAUUGACGCUGAGGUGCGAAAGCGUGGGGAGCAAACAGG